rnacentral:lncRNA from 1 species
CCAGAGCCGCAGCCGCCGCGCAGGCAGGGCCGGGCCGGGCCGGGUGCGCGGGCACAAAGGGGCCGCUGCACAUGGCAGGCAGGCGAGCAGAUGCCAGCAGACAGCUUUUGUCGUCCAGUCUCCCAGUCAUCCGCCUGACCUGCUCCUGUCUGAACAUCCUACCGCGAGUCAAGGCAAAUGGGCUCAGCCGCUGUUCCACUCCACCCAGGCUUGGAGUGGACUCCCCGUGAGCCUGCAGAGGGGCAGGAUGCUGAGUAGCAGGCCAUGCGGGUGCGCCCGGGGUCUCACCCCAGCCCCAGGGAAGAGGCUGUUUCAUUCAGUGAACCAAGAGAUUAUUUUCCACUGGGGCUCCCAUCGAUGCUGAGUUCUGGCUACUUUUUUCCCCUGAUGCUGAAAGGUUCGAUUCUUCCAUCUAUCCAUCAACAAAUCACAUUGAAUGACGGUGCUCAGUGACCCAGGAUGCCACUGGAGACAAAACACACUAUACAUAUUUUCUGGUCUCCCUGGAAAAUUAGUGCAAACACUUUCAUCACUGCGGAGAAGGGAAAUAUGCGCGGAGCUGUGAAAAUCUGCUUUGUUUUUUGUUUUUCUAAGAGGAGAUUUCCCCCUCCUUCAAACAGUGAAAUUUAUAUUGUUCUUUGUCUGCAAAUUAACCAGUUAAGUAGAAUUCCUGUAUGUCUCUUUCACUUUCUGCAAGCCAAGGCCCCUCUUUCUCUCCACCCUGUAUUCAUACAUAGUCCAGGAUCACCCCCUGUCCCCCUCCAAUGCUGCUUGAAAUUUCAUUCCAUUUUCGUCCUGACUUGUUCAAAGUAACAUUUAAAAUAUUUUAAUUCAAAUUCUUAUCUCAUCCAUCCUGUUUAAGUUCCAUUUUAAAGAAUCUUCUUUUCUUA